rnacentral:rRNA from 1 species
CAAUAGCAUAUAUUAACGUUGUUGCAGUUGAAAAGCUCGUAGUUGAACUUUUGGUAGGAGCGACCUGGCCUUGGGCGCAUGCCCUUGUUUGCCGUGUGUCGUGUCUGGCCAUCCUUUUCCGCUUCGGCGGGAAUCUUUUACUGUGAGUAAACUGGAGUGCUCAAAACAAGACGUUUGUUUGGUACAUUAAAGCAUGGAAUAAUAAGAUAGGACCUGGUUACUAUUUGUUGGUUUGCAUAGCUAGGUAAUGAUUAACAGGGACAGUUGGGGGUAUUCGUAUUUAAUUGUCAGAGGUGAAAUUCUUGGAUUUAUGAAAGACGAACGACUGCGAAAGCAUUUACCAAGGAUGUUUUCAUUAA